rnacentral:rRNA from 1 species
AGUGGGUACGGGCAGACUAGAGUGCGGUAGGGGAGAUUGGAAUUCCUGGUGUAGCGGUGGAAUGCGCAGAUAUCAGGAGGAACACCGAUGGCGAAGGCAGAUCUCUGGGCCGUAACUGACGCUGAGGAGCGAAAGGGUGGGGAGCAAACAGGCUUAGAUACCCUGGUAGUCCACCCCGUAAACGUUGGGAACUAGUUGUGGGGUCCAUUCCACGGAUUCCGUGACGCAGCUAACGCAUUAAGUUCCCCGCCUGGGGAGUACGGCCGCAAGGCUAAAACUCAAAGGAAUUGACGGGGACCCGCACAAGCGGCGGAGCAUGCGGAUUAAUUCGAUGCAACGCGAAGAACCUUACCAAGGCUUGACAUAUAGAGGAAACGUCUGGAAACAGUCGCCCCGCAAGGUCUCUAUACAGGUGGUGCAUGGUUGUCGUCAGCUCGUGUCGUGAGAUGUUGGGUUAAGUCCCGCAACGAGCGCAACCCUCGUUCUAUGUUGCCAGCACGUAAUGGUGGGAACUCAUGGGAUACUGCCGGGGUCAACUCGGAGGAAGGUGGGGAUGACGUCAAAUCAUCAUGCCCCUUAUGUCUUGGGCUUCACGCAUGCUACAAUGGCCGGUACAAAGGGCUGCAAUACCGUGAGGUGGAGCGAAUCCCAAAAAGCCGGUCCCAGUUCGGAUUGAGGUCUGCAACUCGACCUCAUGAAGUCGGAGUCGCUAGUAAUCGCAGAUCAGCAACGCUGCGGUGAAUACGUUCC